AACCAAGGCGCUGUGAUAAAUGAGUUAUCACGAAACGAAACAGAAAACAAGAGAAAGGCUGAGAGAUUACUCUACCUUCUCCCACAUACAGGACAUUUUCGCUCCCCAGGUGUAAAUGCGUAAGGAGAGAGAGAAAGAGAGAUGGCUUCUUCUUCUCCAGGCUGCGCUUACCUUUCCAAACUGACUCGUGUACUGUGAGUAUGCAGCAGAAGUGUGGAAGUGUGGAUGUGAACCCCUCCUCCUCCUCCUCCAGCUCCGGUUAACUCCUUUAUCCAGCAAAGCUCUUCUCAACGCACUUCACUCACACCUGCUAACAGUUCACUCAGUGUGAAAAGAAACGUCGAGUUGACAGAUUGACAGGCAGAAGCAAUCUUGAACUUCAAUUUAGUUCUGAGGGGGAAAAAAACAAGUGGAGUUUGAUGCCGCCGCCAUGAAUAAAUUACGAGACAACAGUUAGCGUCACGUCUGAGCCCAGCUUAGGGAAGGCCCUUUCCAGCAUGAACAGACUCAAGCAAAGUCUAUAAAGCCAUGAAGAAAAGCUUAGUUGGAGUUGGUUGGAGACUCCAGUAGCCUGCACAGAGCCAUAACUUCAGCCCUACUAAACGAUUUUGGAAUGAUUAAAGAGACAUUUUUUUCAGUCAGUGCAACUUAUAACUGGAUACAGGGUACAGUACAAGAAAUAAAGGUUAAGACCCAGCAGUGUCAGCUUGGUGGUGGUGGGGCUUAAACCUUUCAAUCAACAGUACAUUAAACCACCACUCUUGUUGAUCUUGAUCUUUCAGGAUACAGAUACUUUAAAUGAAAACAGGUUGGGUAAGUGCAAUCAGUGUACUCUGCUUUGAGGUAUUUAAAAGCAUCAAUGGUAGACUCUACGGUGUGUUAAAUGCAUGAAAUGAAAUCUCCCUGCUGAUUAAAAAUGGAUGUUACCAUACACAGCCUCUGGCGUGGCACUUGCCAGUAAAAGAACUCGUUAAUAUUCACCCCCAUGUCUUGCUAAUGUCUUAAAGUGAUAAAUAGUUGGGGGUUGGAGGCUGUUUGAUUGUUCUUUACAGGCAUUCUGUCAGAGCAUGAGGUGACUGGAAGUGGAUGGAUUUGGUCUGAGUAUGUAUUAGCAUCUUGUAUGUAAUGCUGAUAGAGUAAUUGUAUAUCAACAUGUAUAUUUUAUAUAAAGCAAAGUGUCAGUCAUGUUUGGUAAGAUCUAUAUUCUGAUUUUAUGCCUAUGUAUUGUUAGCAAGCAGACUAGAAGCAAAUGACCUACAUUCACCAAACUG